GAAUUUGAAAGGUUUUCUGACAACAAACCCAUAGCUGAGGCCUGCAGUGACAGAUUCUGGAGUUCAGUUUUGUUUUUUCUUCAAAGACAAGCUUCUUCAUCCAUAAUGUCUACUAUCACCUAACUGGGGAGCUCUAUGUGGGACAACUGAUUGCAGAGGCCAGUGCUAGUGAUCGCUGCCUGACAGACCCUGGCAAGGCGGAGAAGCCCACCUUAGAACCAUGCUCCAAGGCAGCUAAGAAUAGACUGCAUAUAUAUUGGGAUUUUAAACCGG
rnacentral:lncRNA from 10 species